CGGUGAGCAGUAAGUAAGAGCAGAGAUAACAUGAAGGUGGUCCCGUAGGCUAAGGGUGAGCAGGGAAAUGCUGAAGGCCAGGAAGGAGAGGCCACAGAGCUGCAAGAGGUGGAGGGCACAAAAGGGUGCCAACCGCAAAACUGCGCUGUGCUCGAUGGUGGUGAUAUCAACCAAAACAAAA